GCCGUACCAUGCUGAAUAUACCGGUUCUCGUUAGAUCACCGAAGUCAAGCAUCAUUGGGCGCGGUCAGUACUUGGGUGGGUGACCACCUGGGAACACUGCGUGCAGU
rnacentral:rRNA from 1 species